AGUGAACGCUGGCGGUAGGCCUAACACAUGCAAGUCGAACGGCAGCACAGUAAGAGCUUGCUCUUACGGGUGGCGAGUGGCGGACGGGUGAGGAAUACAUCGGAAUCUACUUUUUCGUGGGGGAUAACGUAGGGAAACUUACGCUAAUACAGCAUACGACCUACGGGUGAAAGCAGGGGAUCUUGGGACCUUGCGCGAUUGAAUGAGCCGAUGUCGGAUUAGCUAGUUGGCGGGGUAAAGGCCCACCAAGGCGACGAUCCGUAGCUGGUCUGAGAGGAUGAUCAGCCACACUGGAACUGAGACACGGUCCAGACUCCUACGGGAGGCAGCAGUGGGGAAUAUUGGACAAUGGGCGCAAGCCUGAUCCAGCCAUACCGCGUGUGUGAAGAAGGCCUUCGGGUUGUAAAGCCCUUUUGUUGGGAAAGAAAAGCAGCAGGUUAAUACCCCGCUGUUCUGACGGUACCCAAAGAAUAAGCACCGGCUAACUUCGUG
rnacentral:rRNA from 1 species